GCGAGGUCUAUUCAGUAAGCUCUCUCUGCUUUUUAGGGGGCGCUUUGAUUUCUUUAGGGUGCUUUUAUGAGAAGAGCUUUUUUUAAUAAAGGGUUUUUUGAAGAAGGUGGGGAAGGUUUUCCCGUUUUCUCGAAGGGCUCGGGGAAGGUUUGGCCGGUUUAUCCCCUUGGGCUUGGUGAGGUCGGAGGUUCAGUCCUCCCUUGACCACCGUGUUGCCUGACGUUUUGGCCUUCCCCGGUCCUUUGCCUAUUGCUCGGUCCUUGGUUUUUCUUGGUCGGUAUCAAUUUUAUACUGGUGAAAACCCCUGCUUACUUUGUACUUCCUUAAAAAAUGUUUGUUUUUAAUCCGUUACACGGAGCCAAUUCAUUUAAGCAAUAAAAACUUCAUUUGGUCAAUACAAAUCAGGAUAAUAUUUUUUAAAAGAGGAUUAAUUUUUCAAGUUGAUCAAUUUUCUUGAGAUUGUUUUGAGAGAUCAUUCUUUAUGGGCCGUAUUUCAGCUGGUAGAGCACCUGCUUUGCCAGCAGGUGGCGGUCGGUUCAACGGCUUUUCAAGCAGGGGGUCGUCGGUUCA
rnacentral:misc_RNA from 1 species